UACGAAGGGGGCUAGCGUUGUUCGGAUUUACUGGGCGUAAAGCGCACGUAGGCGGAUUGGUCAGUUAGGGGUGAAAUCCCAGAGCUCAACUCUGGAACUGCCCUUAGUACUGCCAGUCUAGAGUCCGGAAGAGGUAAGUGGAACUCCUAGUGUAGAGGUGGAAUUCGUAGAUAUUAGGAAGAACACCAGUGGCGAAGGCGGCUUACUGGUCCGGUACUGACGCUGAGGUGCGAAAGCGUGGGGAGCAAACAGG
rnacentral:rRNA from 1 species